GACACAGAUAAAAGUUGACCUUCAUGCAGGGUGGUUGUGGAGCCUGAUGGGUCACAAAAGUUGGAGUACCUCUGAGGUCACAACGGCAGAGCCAGUGUGCUGGGUCAGAACGGCAAGCCCACCCUCCUGUAGCUAACAGGUCAGAAGAUGCUAACAUUUCAAGUUGAUAUUGUUUAGAGCCUUGGCAACAGCCCGAUAAAAUAAUGGACAACUAGUUUCUUUUCACUUCAUCAACAGAACUGGACACGGAUCAAUUUCGACUGACCUUUGCCGAAAGGUGGCGCUGUUGAGGUAAAAACCAACUCGUUCCAACAAUAGUUUUCACUCUUCGAUCCGUUUGCAGGCUUUUCAGAAUUUUUUUUUUAAAUGCACCCUCCCAGUGUCACCCCCUUCCAUAAAGUAAAAUAAAUACGAUUAACACAAAAUGCAUUUCAUUAAUUGGGGGAAUCAACAGUCUCAACUUCUAGGCAGGCUGGCUGGUCUUGCAAAUGUUUGGUCGCCUUUCUGUGCUCUUGCUGUCCCCCAAAUAAAUCUCAGCUUCGCCGACUUGUCUAUCGCUUUAAAAUCUUAGAAACAGAGUGGUCGGUUUCUUCCUUUU